AAGUCGUAACAAGGUUUCCGUAGGUGAACCUGCGGAAGGAUCAUUCUCGAUAUAAUAGCGUAAGCUAUCAAUAUUCACAUUGUGCACUGUUACUGCGCCAUUUGGUGGCUGCAAAGCCACCGGGUGAUUUGCGCUUAUUGUUAAUCAUAUAUAUACUUUAAAAACCACAAAUUUAUACAAAAAAAUUUAAAAUUACGACAACUUUUAGCAAUGGAUCUCUAGGCUCUCG
rnacentral:misc_RNA from 1 species